UCCCAUACCUGUCAACUCUCCCGAAUUUAUCGGGAGUCUACCGAUUUUUAACCAUCCCUACCGACUGUCUACCGAUUUUUUUUUAAACUGCCGUUUCUACCGAUUUUGAAAAAUUCCGGAUUUUUUUACCUACUUGGGUUCGUAAAAUACCGACUAGUCAACACAAAAAUGGAGGCCAUGCAGUGUUUAUAUCGGUAGCUAAUCUGUUUAUUGCCACUGAUAACAGGUAAUCAACAAGGUGUCAACUGUGCUAGCAGAUGUAAUUGCAGUUGUAAUUGCUCCUUAUUCUCAUUAAAAGUGUAUAUUAUCAAAGACAGAGAUGCCAGAUGUGGAAAUUUUUACAGAACAUGACGGUAAAGAACGAUAUGGAAGUACUUGAUACUUUGCUGCAAAUAAGUUUACAAGUGCCUAAGAUAAAACUAUUACUCCAUAAACAAUACAGUGAUCAGGAAAGGUGUGGCUACAGUACUCUAUUAUUAAUUUAACAAGGAGAGGGAAACAAUUUCAUGGAAGCUAACAUAAAUGUUCAGAGUCAGCUGAAGAUUUCCCAACAGAUUUUGAGAUUCAAUGACUUAGUAAAUCCUGCAUCAAGAUAUAACAGCCCCUGAAACUACAGAGCAACAAGACAGUGUCUUUAGAAGACUUCUUUAAAUUUACAAAGCUAAACAGGAUCUUUAAAUCAAGGAUACAACUCAUGUCCCUUAGACUUAGUGAGAAAAAUCCAUUCAUCCAUCUAUUAAAAGCUUGAAACUCAAGACUGUCUGCAGAACUUUAUUAAUUUUUCUAAUUGCCAAGUUAAACUACAACAUUUGCCAUGAAUAUUAUUUAAAUGAUGCUCUUAUGGACUGGCAGAAUAGAUAGUGAACAUAAAAUUUUAUAAUUUCAAAAUUAAUUCACAUUGUACAAGUUUCUAAACAAUGUAUGAAUAAACAGUAAAUUUUAUGAAUUAA